GAUGAAGAACGUAGCGAAAUGCGAUAAGUAAUGUGAAUUGCAGAAUUCAGAGAAUCAUCGAAUCUUUGAACGCACAUUGCGCCCCCUGGUAUACCGGGGGGCAUGCCUGUUCGAGCGUCAUUUCACCACUCAAGCCUCGCUUGGUAUUGGGCAACGCGGUCCGCCGCGUGCCUCAAAUCGACCGGCUGGGUCUUCUGUCCCCUAAGCGUUGUGGAAACUAUUCGCUAAAGGGUGUUCGGGAGGCUACGCCGUAAAACAACCCCAUUUCUAAGGUUGACCUCGGAUCAGGUAGGGAUACCCGCUGAACUUAAGCAUAUCAAUAAGCGGAGGA
rnacentral:misc_RNA from 1 species